rnacentral:lncRNA from 1 species
ACAAUAAUCGAAUCAAUGACAUCUUUUGCCUAGUAUGCCACAUCUAAAAUACGUGCCCAAAGAUCUUUACAAAAUUUUUGAUCAAUGUUUGUGAAAAAAGAUCUUAUGAAUUCUAAGUCUUCUUUCACCAGCCCAAUUUCUUCCUUUAUCAAUGCAAUUGAAUAAGUAUUGGAAUCUAGCAGAUCAUUCUAGUGUAUUUGUAGCAGA